AUUGAACGCUGGCGGCAGGCUUAACACAUGCAAGUCGAACGAGUGGCGGACGGGUGAGUAAUGCCUGGGAAACUGCCUUAUGGAGGGGGAUAACUACGGGAAACGGUAGCUAAUACCGCAUACCAUCGGAUGAGCCCAAGGGGGAUUAGGUAGUUGGUGGGGUAAAGGCUCACCAAGCCGACGAUCCCUAGCUGGUCUGAGAGGAUGACCAGCCACACUGGGACUGAGACAUGGUCCAGACUCCUACGGGAGGCAGCAGUGGGGAAUAUUGCGCAAUGGGGGCAACCUGACGCAGCCAUGCCGCGUGAAUGAAGAAGGCCUUCGGGUUGUAAAGUUCUUUCGGUAGCGAGGCGUUAACUACAGAAGAAGCACCGGCUAACUCCGUGCCAGCAGCCGCGGUAAUUC
rnacentral:rRNA from 1 species